UAUGGUUUUAACUCAGCUCAUCUUUAACUAACUGGCCUGUAUUAAUGUAGAAAAGGCCCAAAGUUACAUCAUAUAUGUUCAUUGUGUGACGUUUGUAGAUGUAGUGUUGGUCGGCUCUCUUUGGGACGGCUCCCUCUGCUGGCUGAUUCGGGUAACUGGCGGCAUUCAGACAGUGGAUGUUCCGGCAGAGUGAGUGAAGCUACGGUUAAACAGUACAGGACCAGGACAGUUACUGCUGCUGCUGCUCCAACCACUACACCUAUAAUGGCUCCAACAUUGGUAGAAGGCUCUGAAAUAGAAACAGACUGGAGUGAGGCGUUUCCUCUGGAGAUCUGGUCCUUGAACAGUGAUGUUCUGCCUCUGAAGCUCUGGUCCUGCUGGUGGAGCUGGUCUUGAUUGUAGUAGUAGGAGUGGACACGAAGGUUUCCUGCUCUCACCUGAAUCCAGUGGAUGAUGGGAUCAGGACCGACCUGGAAGCUGCACGGUGCAGCCUGUGACAGAUUCUGUGGAAACAGCAGCAAACUUCAUACUUUCACUCCUCUGUAUUUGACAGCUUCAGUUACUGAUUCAGAUUAUUGAUGCAAAAAUUAUCAACAAAUAAAUAAUGAUGCGUUAUUAUACAUAUUACAAUCCAGCAGUAAAUAAAGUUGUUGACAGAUACUUACUUUGAGGUUAGUUUGAUCCGACUCUGCUCAGAGAGAGAACACGGAAACUGACGAAUCGAAAGUAAAGUCUGUGUUUUACCACGUGACUGGUUCCUGGAGAUAAACAUAACGUGCCCCAACUUGAUGGCUGCGCAAUAAUGUUUGUCUUCUUGCUCUUUAAAAAAAAAUUGAAUAUGUGAAGUAAUGAUGUUGGAAAAUAUAAGGUGGACUGUCCUUUAAGGUGGACCAUCGAACCCCACCACAUUAAGUUUUGAUGUCUCACUCAGAGAAUCGAUGGGCUCAGAGAUCAAACCUGUGUUGUAUAAUUUAAUAGAGAAAAGAUUAAUUGUCCCAGUUUGAGACUGAAAUGUUCACUGUUGAAUCAGAAAGAAAAAAACUAUUUCUGUUAUUUUGAGGCGGAUAAACAGCUUCAGUGGGAUUUACAUGAAGACUGGAGUGUGUGUAUAUUUUUAAUAU